UACGUAGGGCGCGAGCGUUGUCCGGAAUUAUUGGGCGUAAAGAGCUCGUAGGCGGUUUGUCGCGUCGGUUGUGAAAACCCAAGGCUCAACCUUGGGCCUGCAAUCGAUACGGGCAGACUAGAGUACUGCAGGGGAGACUGGAAUUCCUGGUGUAGCGGUGGAAUGCGCAGAUAUCAGGAGGAACACCGGUGGCGAAGGCGGGGUCUCUGGGCAGUAACUGACGCUGGAGGAGCGAAAGCGUGGGGGAGCGAACAGG
rnacentral:rRNA from 1 species